GAUAUCAUGCAUUGUAAUUAAUGGGGAAUAAGCAUCCACUAUAAUUAUUGGAAACAUAGGAGCAUCCUCAACUGCAUUCGAAGGUAGACAUCUGGAUUUACUACUACUUGAAGAUUUCUUUGAAUAGGGCAAGACAGGGGAAUGAGUAUCCACUGUAAUUUUCUGCAGCUUUUCAGAUCGGUGAUCUUUUACCAUAGCGGCUUAAUCAGCUUUAUUAUCGAAUAUCUAUGAAGAUGAGUUCGAUGUACAAUCACUGCGUCCAAGUGCUUUUAGUAUAAGAUGAAUGAAAUAUAGUAUUUUGUUGGCUUACAAAGAGACUAUAGUCUAUUCUCUUUUCAUUUGCUUCUGGAAAUUUGUUGAAGCUGGAGCAAAGUUUUAUCUAACAGGACCAAACACAACCAAAUAUAAAGUAAUUUGUUCGGCUAAAUCUCGACUUCCCAAUUCAGACUCGUGAUGGCCAACAAUGUGAAAUUUGAUGCAAAGGAGGAGGUUAUAAUCACAGGUUCAAGAUGAUGGUGAAGGAAAAUAAGCCAAGGAUCCAUCAAAUUAGUACAACUCAUAAAGCUAUUAAUGAUUUGAAAAGGCCUUGUAAAAGAUAUAUUUCUUUUGUUAUGCUUUUUUUUUUUGUAAGGUUCGAAGAAGUUGAUAGUACACAUUAUCUAAUUGACUUAUUUUAUUUGUGAUGAAACAGAAUAUUUUAGUGUCUAUUUAAUCAUUAAUAUUAUUAUAUACUAGUCAUUUCUAUC